AAUAAACAAUGUAUAUUCACUUUUACUACCAACCAAUCUUUACCAUUCAGUGAUAACAAGCACUUUAUUUUACAUUUUAAUAUUUUAUGAUGUAUUUAAAAGAGUAGUUAUUGUUGCAAACUCCAUUAGAAAUUUGAAUUGAUAUCAGUUUUGGAAAAAGGGAAACGGGGAUGUGAAAAAAAAAUGGGGGGGGGGGGGGGGGGGGGGUUAAAUUUUUCUCAUUUCAGAUUUCAUAAAUAAAAAGAAAAUUUCUUCAAACAUUUUUUUUAGAGGAUUAAUAUUCAACAGCAUAGUGAAUUGCUCAAAGGCAAAAAAAAAUUUUUAAGUUCAUAAGACC
rnacentral:lncRNA from 1 species